GGGGGAAAGAAGAGGAGAAAAGGGAAGAGAAAGGAAGAAGAAGAAGAGGUAGCAGGAGGAAGGAAGCUCACCUUGGUGCCGGGUGCCUGCCUAGUUGUCAGAAUCCCUGCCGGAGGACAAAGAUGAGCAUGUACCUCGAGGCCGAAAUUGAAUUGAACACUCGGUGGCCGUACUUGGAACCCGAUCCGUUCGAACUUAAACAAGAUGAUGAUGUAGGUACGGUUAUGCCUAUGGCUUGUGACUCUCUUUCCUCUGGACCCGAGUACGAAGUGAGCGACUAGUGGAUGCUGGGAGCAGGGGAGCACCAGGACUGUGCUUGCGAUUAUUGUGCAUACGCAGCACCAUGAGAUGCCCAAAUACUGAAUUGUGAAUGGUAUAUUUUGGGCUUAUUAUUUAUAAUUCAUGGAUAAUUGUAAUAGAAUAACUUGGUUAUUUA